AAAGCAUCCAUAUGAGCAACUUGCAAACACAAGGCAACAACCAAGGAUCCAUCUCCAUCAUGACCUGGUAGGAUCAAAGAAUCACCAUCAAAAUCAUGGGGUCCUGGACCCAUGUACACCUCCUUCCCCCAUCCAAAAUCGAUCCCGUACAUGGGUAGCGUCAACCAGCUUAUUACCCCAAGAUUUGGGUUACCAUAGAAAGGUCCUUCAUCGUUCCCUAAGGCAUGUAGAUCCUGGAACUGUGACAAGUCAGGCUGAUUUUUCAGAAAAUCUAUGGCAGACCACACGUAUUCGUCCGUCACU
rnacentral:lncRNA from 1 species